rnacentral:sRNA from 1 species
GGUGAAAUCCUAUUUAGCACAGUUUGCAGCUCGUGCCAUCAUUUCAGAGCUGAAAUUGAUCAGAAUAAGGACCGCAUGUUGGAGAUUUUGGAAGGAAAGGGACUGAGUUUCUUAUUCCCACUCCUCAAAUUGGAGAAGGAACUGUUGAAGCAAAUAAAGUUGGAUCCAUCCCCUCAAACCAUAUAUAAAUGGAUUAAAGAUAACAUCUCUCCCAAACUUCAUGUAGAUAAAGGAUUUGUGAACAUCUUAAUGACUAGCUUCUUACAGUACAUUUCUAGUGAAGUAAACCCCCCCAGCGAUGAAACAGAUUCAUCCUCUGCUCCUUCCAAAGAACAGUUAGAGCAGGAAAAACAACUACUACUUUCUUUCAAGCCAGUAAUGCAGAAAUUUCUUCAUGAUCACGUUGAUCUGCAAGUCAGUGCCCUGUAUGCUCUUCAGGUGCACUGCUAUAACAGCAACUUCCCAAAAGGCAUGUUACUUCGCUUUUUUGUGCACUUCUAUGACAUGGAAAUUAUUGAAGAAGAAGCUUUCUUGGCUUGGAAAGAAGAUAUAACCCAGGAGUUUCCGGGAAAAGGCAAGGCUUUGUUCCAG